rnacentral:rRNA from 1 species
GACGAACGCUGGCGGCGUGCCUAAUACAUGCAAGUAGAACGCACAGUUUAUACCGUAGCUUGCUACACUAUAGACUGUGAGUUGCGAACGGGUGAGUAACGCGUAGGUAACCUGCCUGGUAGCGGGGGAUAACUAUUGGAAACGAUAGCUAAUACCGCAUAAUAUUAAUUAUUGCAUGAUAAUUAAUUGAAAGGUGCAAUUGCACCACUACCAGAUGGACCUGCGUUGUAUUAGCUAGUAGGUGAGGUAACGGCUCACCUAGGCGACGAUACAUAGCCGACCUGAGAGGGUGCUCGGCAACACUGGGACUGGGACACGGCCCAGACUCCUACGGGAGGCAGCAGUAGGGAAUCUUCGGCAAUGGACGAAAGUCUGAACGAGCAACGCCGCGUGAGUGAAGAAGGUUGUCGGAUCGUAAAGCUCUGUUGUAAGAGAAGAACGGGUGUGAGAGUGGAAAGUUCACACUGUGACGGUAUCUGACCAGAAAGGGACGGCUAACUACGUG